AGUGAACGCUGGCGGUAGGCCUAACACAUGCAAGUCGAACGGCAGCACAGUAAGAGCUUGCUCUUACGGGUGGCGAGUGGCGGACGGGUGAGGAAUACAUCGGAAUCUACUUUUUCGUGGGGGAUAACGUAGGGAAACUUACGCUAAUACCGCAUACGACCUACGGGUGAAAGCAGGGGAUCUUCGGACCUUGCGCGAUUGAAUGAGCCGAUGUCGGAUUAGCUAGUUGGCGGGGUAAAGGCCCACCUAGGCGACGAUCCGUAGCCGGUCUGAGAGGAUGAUCAGCCACACUGGAACUGAGACACGGUCCAGACUCCUACGGGAGGCAGCAGUGGGGAAUAUUGGACAAUGGGCGCAAGCCUGAUCCAGCCAUACCGCGUGGGUGAAGAAGGCCUUCGGGUUGUAAAGCCCUUUUGUUGGGAAAGAAAAGCAGCAGGUUAAUACCCCGCUGUUCUGACGGUACCCAAAGAAUAAGCACCGGCUAACUUCGUG
rnacentral:rRNA from 1 species